GCAGUCGACGAUGAACCACUUCGGUGGGGAUUAGUGGCGAACGGGUGAGUAACACGUGGGCAAUCUGCCCUGCACUCUGGGACAAGCCCUGGAAACGGGGUCUAAUACCGGAUACUGACCCGCUUGGGCAUCCAAGCGGUUCGAAAGCUCCGGCGGUGCAGGAUGAGCCCGCGGCCUAUCAGCUAGUUGGUGAGGUAAUGGCUCACCAAGGCGACGACGGGUAGCCGGCCUGAGAGGGCGACCGGCCACACUGGGACUGAGACACGGCCCAGACUCCUACGGGAGGCAGCAGUGGGGAAUAUUGCACAAUGGGCGAAAGCCUGAUGCAGCGACGCCGCGUGAGGGAUGACGGCCUUCGGGUUGUAAACCUCUUUCAGCAGGGAAGAAGCGAAAGUGACGGUACCUGCAGAAGAAGCGCCGGCUAACUACGUGCCAGCAGCCGCGGUAAUACGUAGGGCGCGAGCGUUGUCCGGAAUUAUUGGGCGUAAAGAGCUCGUAGGCGGCUUGUCACGUCGGUUGUGAAAGCCCGGGGCUUAACCCCGGGUCUGCAGUCGAUACGGGCAGGCUAGAGUUCGGUAGGGGAGAUCGGAAUUCCUGGUGUAGCGGUGAAAUGCGCAGAUAUCAGGAGGAACACCGGUGGCGAAGGCGGAUCUCUGGGCCGAUACUGACGCUGAGGAGCGAAAGCGUGGGGAGCGAACAG
rnacentral:rRNA from 1 species